GAAACAUCUUCGGGUUGUGAGGUUAAGCGACUAAGCGUACACGGUGGAUGCCCUGGCAGUCAGAGGCGAUGAAGGACGUGCUAAUCUGCGAUAAGCGUCGGUAAGGUGAUAUGAACCGUUAUAACCGGCGAUUUCCGAAUGGGGAAACCCAGUGUGAUUCGUCACACUAUCAUUAACUGAAUCCAUAGGUUAAUGAGGCGAACCGGGGGAACUGAAACAUCUAAGUACCCCGAGGAAAAGAAAUCAACCGAGAUUCCCCCAGUAGCGGCGAGCGAACGGGGAGCAGCCCAGAGCCUGAAUCAGUGUGUGUGUUAGUGGAAGCGUCUGGAAAGGCGCGCGAUACAGGGUGACAGCCCCGUACACAAAAAUGCACAUACUGUGAGCUCGAUGAGUAGGGCGGGACACGUGGUAUCCUGUCUGAAUAUGGGGGGACCAUCCUCCAAGGCUAAAUACUCCUGACUGACCGAUAGUGAACCAGUACCGUGAGGGAAAGGCGAAAAGAACCCCGGCGAGGGGAGUGAAAAAGAACCUGAAACCGUGUACGUACAAGCAGUGGGAGCACGCUUAGGCGUGUGACUGCGUACCUUUUGUAUAAUGGGUCAGCGACUUAUAUUCUGUAGCAAGGUUAACCGAAUAGGGGAGCCGAAGGGAAACCGAGUCUUAACUGGGCGUUAAGUUGCAGGGUAUAGACCCGAAACCCGGUGAUCUAGCCAUGGGCAGGUUGAAGGUUGGGUAACACUAACUGGAGGACCGAACCGACUAAUGUUGAAAAAUUAGCGGAUGACUUGUGGCUGGGGGUGAAAGGCCAAUCAAACCGGGAGAUAGCUGGUUCUCCCCGAAAGCUAUUUAGGUAGCGCCUCGUGAAUUCAUCUCCGGGGGUAGAGCACUGUUUCGGCAAGGGGGUCAUCCCGACUUACCAACCCGAUGCAAACUGCGAAUACCGGAGAAUGUUAUCACGGGAGACACACGGCGGGUGCUAACGUCCGUCGUGAAGAGGGAAACAACCCAGACCGCCAGCUAAGGUCCCAAAGUCAUGGUUAAGUGGGAAACGAUGUGGGAAGGCCCAGACAGCCAGGAUGUUGGCUUAGAAGCAGCCAUCAUUUAAAGAAAGCGUAAUAGCUCACUGGUCGAGUCGGCCUGCGCGGAAGAUGUAACGGGGCUAAACCAUGCACCGAAGCUGCGGCAGCGACGCUUAUGCGUUGUUGGGUAGGGGAGCGUUCUGUAAGCCUGUGAAGGUGUACUGUGAGGUAUGCUGGAGGUAUCAGAAGUGCGAAUGCUGACAUAAGUAACGAUAAAGCGGGUGAAAAGCCCGCUCGCCGGAAGACCAAGGGUUCCUGUCCAACGUUAAUCGGGGCAGGGUGAGUCGACCCCUAAGGCGAGGCCGAAAGGCGUAGUCGAUGGGAAACAGGUUAAUAUUCCUGUACUUGGUGUUACUGCGAAGGGGGGACGGAGAAGGCUAUGUUGGCCGGGCGACGGUUGUCCCGGUUUAAGCGUGUAGGCUGGUUUUCCAGGCAAAUCCGGAAAAUCAAGGCUGAGGCGUGAUGACGAGGCACUACGGUGCUGAAGCAACAAAUGCCCUGCUUCCAGGAAAAGCCUCUAAGCAUCAGGUAACAUCAAAUCGUACCCCAAACCGACACAGGUGGUCAGGUAGAGAAUACCAAGGCGCUUGAGAGAACUCGGGUGAAGGAACUAGGCAAAAUGGUGCCGUAACUUCGGGAGAAGGCACGCUGAUAUGUAGGUGAAGUCCCUCGCGGAUGGAGCUGAAAUCAGUCGAAGAUACCAGCUGGCUGCAACUGUUUAUUAAAAACACAGCACUGUGCAAACACGAAAGUGGACGUAUACGGUGUGACGCCUGCCCGGUGCCGGAAGGUUAAUUGAUGGGGUUAGCGCAAGCGAAGCUCUUGAUCGAAGCCCCGGUAAACGGCGGCCGUAACUAUAACGGUCCUAAGGUAGCGAAAUUCCUUGUCGGGUAAGUUCCGACCUGCACGAAUGGCGUAAUGAUGGCCAGGCUGUCUCCACCCGAGACUCAGUGAAAUUGAACUCGCUGUGAAGAUGCAGUGUACCCGCGGCAAGACGGAAAGACCCCGUGAACCUUUACUAUAGCUUGACACUGAACAUUGAGCCUUGAUGUGUAGGAUAGGUGGGAGGCUUUGAAGUGUGGACGCCAGUCUGCAUGGAGCCGACCUUGAAAUACCACCCUUUAAUGUUUGAUGUUCUAACGUUGACCCGUAAUCCGGGUUGCGGACAGUGUCUGGUGGGUAGUUUGACUGGGGCGGUCUCCUCCUAAAGAGUAACGGAGGAGCACGAAGGUUGGCUAAUCCUGGUCGGACAUCAGGAGGUUAGUGCAAUGGCAUAAGCCAGCUUGACUGCGAGCGUGACGGCGCGAGCAGGUGCGAAAGCAGGUCAUAGUGAUCCGGUGGUUCUGAAUGGAAGGGCCAUCGCUCAACGGAUAAAAGGUACUCCGGGGAUAACAGGCUGAUACCGCCCAAGAGUUCAUAUCGACGGCGGUGUUUGGCACCUCGAUGUCGGCUCAUCACAUCCUGGGGCUGAAGUAGGUCCCAAGGGUAUGGCUGUUCGCCAUUUAAAGUGGUACGCGAGCUGGGUUUAGAACGUCGUGAGACAGUUCGGUCCCUAUCUGCCGUGGGCGCUGGAGAACUGAGGGGGGCUGCUCCUAGUACGAGAGGACCGGAGUGGACGCAUCACUGGUGUUCGGGUUGUCAUGCCAAUGGCACUGCCCGGUAGCUAAAUGCGGAAGAGAUAAGUGCUGAAAGCAUCUAAGCACGAAACUUGCCCCGAGAUGAGUUCUCCCUGACUCCUUGAGAGUCCUGAAGGAACGUUGAAGACGACGACGUUGAUAGGCCGGAUGUGUAAGCGCAGCGAUGCGUUGAGCUAACCGGUACUAAUGAACCGUGAGGCUUAACCUU
rnacentral:rRNA from 1 species